rnacentral:rRNA from 1 species
UUAAAUUUAUAAAAUUAGGUAGUAAAGAAAUUUCUGAAACCUAAAGAAUUUGGCGGUAUUUUAAAUAAUUGGAGGAACCUGUUAUUUAAUUGAUAAUCCACAACAAAUCUUACCUAAAUUUUAUUUGUAUAUCGUCGUUUUGAUAAUAUUUAAAAAUAAUAAUCAAUUUUAAUAAAUUUUAAAAAUUCAGGUCAAGGUGCAGUAUAUUUAGGUUAUAAUGGGUUACAAUAUAAUUAUAUAUAAUGAAUAUAAACUUGAAAUUAUAUUGAAGGUGGAUUCAAAAGUAAGAUUAAAUUAAAAAGUUAGUCUGAUUAAUAAUUUAAAAUAUGC